UGGGGAAUAUUGCACAAUGGGCGCAAGCCUGAUGCAGCCAUGCCGCGUGUGUGAAGAAGGCCUUCGGGUUGUAAAGCACUUUCAGCGGGGAGGAAGGCGAUAAGGCUAAUAACCUUGUCGAUUGACGUUAACCGCAGAAGAAGCACCGGCUAACUCCGUGCCAGCAGCCGCGGUAAUACGGAGGGUGCAAGCGUUAAUCGGAAUUACUGGGCGUAAAGCGCACGCAGGCGGUUUGUCAAGUCGGAUGUGAAAUCCCCGGGCUUAACCUGGGAACUGCAUUCGAAACUGGCAGGCUAGAGUCUUGUAGAGGGGGGUAGAAUUCCAGGUGUAGCGGUGAAAUGCGUAGAGAUCUGGAGGAAUACCGGUGGCGAAGGCGGCCCCCUGGACAAAGACUGACGCUCAGGUGCGAAAGCGUGGGGAGCAAACAGG
rnacentral:rRNA from 1 species